ACGGAAGGCAGCAGUGGGGAAUAUUGGGCAAUGGGCGAAAGCCUGACCCAGCAACGCCGCGUGAAGGAAGAAGGUUUUCGGAUUGUAAACUUCUUUUAUCAGGGACGAAGGAAGUGACGGUACCUGAUGAAUAAGCCACGGCUAACUACGUGCCAGCAGCCGCGGUAAUACGUAGGUGGCAAGCGUUAUCCGGAUUUACUGGGUGUAAAGGGCGCGUAGGCGGGGAUGCAAGUCAGAUGUGAAAUCCAUGGGCUUAACCCAUGAACUGCAUUUGAAACUGUAUCUCUUGAGUGUCGGAGAGGUAGACGGAAUUCCGAGUGUAGCGGUGAAAUGCGUAGAUAUUCGGAGGAACACCAGUGGCGAAGGCGGCCUGCUGGGCUUUUACUGACGCUGAGGCUCGAAAGUGUGGGGAGCAAACAGGAUUAGAUACCCUGGUA
rnacentral:rRNA from 1 species